rnacentral:rRNA from 1 species
CCUACGGGAGGCUGCAGUGGGGAAUAUUGCGCAAUGGGCGAAAGCCUGACGCAGCGACGCCGCGUGAGGGAUGAAGGUCUUCGGAUCGUAAACCUCUGUCAGCAGGGAAGAACGGUCACUGUGCUAAUCAGCAGUGAAUUGACGGUACCUGCAAAGGAAGCACCGGCUAACUACGUGCCAGCAGCCGCGGUAAUACGUAGGGGGCAAGCGUUAUCCGGAUUUACUGGGUGUAAAGGGAGCGUAGACGGUGAUGCAAGUCAGAAGUGAAAGCCCGGGGCUCAACUCCGGGACUGCUUUUGAAACUGUGUGACUGGAGUGCAGGAGAGGUAAGCGGAAUUCCUGGUGUAGCGGUGAAAUGCGUAGAUAUCAGGAGGAACACCAGUGGCGAAGGCGGCUUACUGGACUGUAACUGACGUUGAGGCUCGAAAGCGUGGGGAGCAAACAGGAUUAGAUACCCCAGUAGUC